rnacentral:rRNA from 1 species
UCCUAAGGUAGCGAAAUUCCUUGUCGGGUAAGUUCCGACCUGCACGAAUGGCGUAACGAUGGCGGCGCUGUCUCCACCCGAGACUCAGUGAAAUUGAAAUCGCUGUGAAGAUGCAGUGUAUCCGCGGCUAGACGGAAAGACCCCGUGAACCUUUACUAUAGCUUUGCACUGGACUUUGAAUUUGCUUGUGUAGGAUAGGUGGGAGGCUUUGAAGCGUGGACGCCAGUUCGCGUGGAGCCAUCCUUGAAAUACCACCCUGGCAACUUUGAGGUUCUAACUCAGGUCCGUUAUCCGGAUCGAGGACAGUGUAUGGUGGGUAGUUUGACUGGGGCGGUCUCCUCCUAAAGAGUAACGGAGGAGUACGAAGGUGCGCUCAGACCGGUCGGAAAUCGGUCGUAGAGUAUAAAGGCAAAAGCGCGCUUGACUGCGAGACAGACACGUCGAGCAGGUACGAAACUAGGACUUAGUGAUCCGGUGGUUCUGUAUGGAAGGGCCAUCGCUCAACGGAUAAAAGGUACUCCGGGGAUAACAGGCUGAUACCGCCCAAGAGUUCAUAUCGACGGCGGUGUUUGGCACCUCGAUGUCGGCUCAUCACAUCCUGGGGCUGAAGCCGGUCCCAAGGGUAUGGCUGUUCGCCAUUUAAAGUGGUACGCGAGCUGGGUUCAGAACGUCGUGAGACAGUUCGGUCCCUAUCUGCCAUGGGCGUUGGAGAUUUGAGAGGGGCUGCUCCUAGUACGAGAGGACCGGAGUGGACGAACCUCUGGUGUUCCGGUUGUCACGCCAGUGGCAUUGCCGGGUAGCUAUGUUCGGAAGCGAUAACCGCUGAAAGCAUCUAAGCGGGAAGCGCGCCUCAAGAUGAGAUCUCCCGGGGCACAAGCCCCCUGAAGGAACCAUGUAGACUACGUGGUUGAUAGGUCAGGUGUGUAAGUACAGCAAUGUAUUGAGCUAACUGAUACUAAUGAUCCGAGAGGCUUGACCAU